AACGAACGCUGGCGGCAUGCCUAACACAUGCAAGUCGAACGGACCCUUCGGGGUCAGUGGCGCACGGGUGCGUAACGCGUGGGAAUCUGCCUUUAGGUUCGGAAUAACUCGGGGAAACCCGAGCUAAUACCGGAUAAUGUCUUCGGACCAAAGAUUUAUCGCCUAGAGAUGAGCCCGCGUCGGAUUAGCUAGUUGGUGAGGUAAAAGCUCACCAAGGCGACGAUCCGUAGCUGGUCUGAGAGGAUGAUCAGCCACACUGGGACUGAGACACGGCCCAGACUCCUACGGGAGGCAGCAGUGGGGAAUAUUGGACAAUGGGCGAAAGCCUGAUCCAGCAAUGCCGCGUGAGUGAUGAAGGCCUUAGGGUUGUAAAGCUCUUUUACCCGGGAUGAUAAUGACAGUACCGGGAGAAUAAGCCCCGGCUAACUCCGUGCCAGCCGCCGCAGUAACAC
rnacentral:rRNA from 1 species